rnacentral:lncRNA from 1 species
GGUCGAACUGUGUCUUCCUGAGCAGACCUCGACUGCGCGAACUAACAACAAUGUUGUACUACGUUCACAUGGUCCACUUCUCUCCUUUGUAGUCCAUGCCAUAAAAACUGAUCCUUCCACUAGAGUAAUUAAAUUAUAAUUCUUCAUUUCUAUUCCCUGACAAAAGUGUAACAUAACAGCUAUGUUUGGUAAGCAGUAUCAUAUACUUCAUCUAAAAAAGGGUAUAACAUAUACAAGCGCAUAUAUCAAAUGAAUAUGAGUGUGUAAGAUAUUAUACAGCAUCGCAAAGAGUGUCGAUAGCAUUGUCAAUUUUGCCGAGGUCCAUGAUCAGCUCAUCAAGAACAUUUAGUAUGCUAUUUUCUGUACAAUCCAUUGCUACUCUGCAUGCACACGCACAUGUGGUUUUAGAUAAUGGAGGAGUGACAUUGUUCUUCCAUGCAAGUUAUGUUGAUCACAGAACCAAAUUUUAGGACAAGAAUAGAAGCUAGCUAGUCAGUACUUUCAGUAGUAUCAUUCAUUUAUUUAUUUUACUUGUUGAGGAAAACCUGUUUUUCUUUCUUUAGAAAACAAUCGACAAGACAGGGAACAAAGAAAUCUUCUGAACCAAACCUGGCUAGACUAUGGUGGUGCUCGUGUGUGUGGUAAUUUAGAAAUGAAAACAAGCUAGGAAGAUCAUAGAUGCACCAUAAGAAGAAACAAGCAUUGCAAACAACCAUGGCUGUACAUGAGAGAGAGGGGGAAGAGAGAGAGAGACUUCACCUUGUUCUUCUUCACCAAAACUCUUCCUCAAUAUUCUUCCUUUUCUCUUCUUUGUCGGAUUUGCACACAACUGGGAGAAACCCAUAAAUUGAUAUAUAAAAAUCAGAUUAUUGGUAAAAGGGGAAGAUGUACUAUUAAAAAAAGAAUUAAUUCCCCUUAAACAAAAAUGCCAUCCUAGGAUAAGAAAGAAGAAAACCAACUAACAUGUCUAGCAAUCUAGAAACAGGGAGUCCGGGGAAUAGUUGAUAUGUGAGCAUGAGUUGGUCAAGGAGUGGUAAAAAUCAAAAUAAAUAAGGGCACGUAUAGACUAAUUUCUUCUUAUAUCUAUCUUUCCCUUAAACAAAUGCGGUUCAGAGAUGACCUUGGCUCGUUGGAGCUCCGGAGCAGCCGUG